UGACCCCAUAUCAGGUGGGAUUACCCGCUGAGUUUAAUCAUAUUAAUAAACGGAGGAAAAUAAACUUAAAAGGAUUCCCUUAGUAAUGGAAAGCAAAACUAUAAUAACCCAUUCUUAGAAUUAGGUGGAUCCAUCGUCCAAAUUGUAGUCUAGAUAAGCGUCCACAGUGUCGGACCAGGCCCAAGUCCCCUAGAAGGGGGCGUCAGAGAGGGUGAGAGCCUCGUUGUGCUCAGGCCCUGUCGCACCAUGAGGCUCUAUCUACGAGUUGGGUUGUUUGGGAAUGCAGCCAAAAUACAGCAGUGAAUUCCAUCCAAGGCUAAAUAUGAGCGAGAGAGACUAAUAACAAACAAGUACCACGAUGGAAAGAUGAAAAGGACUUUGAAAAGAGAGUCAAAGAUUUCUUGAAAUUAUCGGGUAGGAAGUGGAUGAGGGACAAUGAUGCACCCCGGUCAGAUGUAGAAUGACGAUGAGCCGGUCUGCCGAUUAACUCGGGGCAUGGAUCAGCACGGAUUAGGGGCGACCGAAUCCAAGGCUUUUGGUACUCUUGUGGAAUGCCAUCUCAUCGAUUAUGGAAGGCAGUGUGCCCCUCUGGUAUGCUUCGUCAUCUUUGCACUCCGAAAGCUGGCCUAUGGGCUCCCCAUUCGACCCAUUUUGAAACACGAACCAAGGAGUCUAACAUGUGUGCGAGUCAACGGGCUAGUAAACCCAUAAGGCAUAAGGAAGUUGAUUGGUUAGAUCGCCUUGAGGGGUGCACCUCCGACCGACCUUGAUCUUUUAAGAAGGGUUCUAGUGUGAGCAUAACUGUUGAAACCCAAAAGAUGGUGAACUAUGCCUGAGAGAGGCGAAACCAUAGGAAACUCUAGUAGAGGCCGACAGCGAAACUGACGUGCAAAUCAUUCGUCUGACUUGGGUAUAGGGGCGAAAGACUAAUCGAACUUGUCUAGUAGCUGGGUCCCUUUAAAUUUUACCUCAUAAUAGUUUGAACUCGCAUGCGAGUUCUAUCGAGUAAAGAUAAUUAUUAGAGGCCUCGGGGGCACAACGUCCUCGACCUAUUCUUAAACUUAAAAUAGGUAGGACGGCACAACUGCUUUGUUGAGCCACGCCACGCAAUCAAGAACUCCGAGUUGGCCUUUCUGGAAACCAGACCUGGCGAUGCAGGAUGAAUUGGAAACCAGGUAAUGGUACCAAACUAUGUGCUAACCUAGAUCCCACAAAGGGUAUUGGUCGAUUAAGAGAGAAGGACGGUGGUCAUGGAUGUCAAAAUCAGCAAAGAAGUUUGUAGCAACUCACCUUUCGAAUCAAUGAGCCAUAAAAAUAUAUGGUGCUUAUACGCACGACCUACACUUGGCCGUCGGGGAAAGUGCCAGGCCUCAAUAAGUAGGACGGCGCAGCGGUCACUGUAAAACCUUAGGCGCGAGCCCGAGCGGAGCGGCCGCCAACGUAGAUCUUAGUAGUAGUAGAAAAUAUUCAAAUGAGAACUUUGAACGCCGAAGAGGGGAAAGGUUCCAUGUGAAAGGCACUUGCUCAUGGGCUAGUCGAUCCUAAGGGUCAGGGGAACCCCGAUAGAUAGUGUAUUUUGAGCGUACUCCAAAAGAGAAUAUGAUUAAAAUUCCUGAAUCGGUAUGUAGUGGUCGAUAGCAAUGUUAGGAAGUAUAGAGACAUUAGCGGGAGCCUCAGAAAGAGUUAUCUUUUCUAUUUAACAGCCUGCCCACCCUGGAAUCUGCUCAGUUAGAGGUAGGGUCCUACGGCUAGAAGAGAACCGCACAUCGCAUGGUGUCCAGUGCACUCAAGGCAGCCCUUGACAAUCCAAAAGACCGAAUGUCCUCCACGCCUGGUCGUACUUAUAACCGCAUCAGGUCUCCAAGGUGAACAAUCUCUGGUCGAUGGAACAAUGUAGGCAAGGGAUGUCGGCAAAAUGGAUUCGUAACUUAAGGAAAAGGAUUGGCUCUGAGGGCUGGGCACGGGGGUCCCAGUCCUUGAACUAGUCGACGUUUGGUAAACUACUUAAGCUACUUCCAUGGCUAGAGCGAGUUGCCGUGGGCUGGUCGGUGGACGGAAUGGGAACCAUUUCUUCGGGGGCCUUUUCCACGUGUCGAAUAGCCAAUUCAAAACUGGUACAGACAAGGUGAAUCUGACUGUUUAAUUAAAACAAAGCAUUGCAAUGGACCCAACAGAUGUUCACGUAAUAUGAUUUCUUCCCAGUGCUCUGGAUGUCAAAGUGAAGAAAUUCAAAUAAGCAUGGGUAAACGGCGGGAGUAAUUAUGACUCUCUCAAGGUAGCCAAAUGCCUCAUAAUCUAAUUAGUGAUGCGCAUGAAUGGAUUAAUGAGAUUCCCACCAUCCCUGUCUACUAUCUAGCAAAACCACAACCAAGGGAAUGGGUUUGGCAGAAUUAGUGGUGAAAGAAGACCAUGUUGAGCUUUACUUUAGUCCGACUUUAUAAAAUGAAGUAAGAGGUUUAGUAUAAGUAGGAUCCGAAAGACAAAAGUGCAAUACCACUACUUUUAACAUUAUUUUACUUAUUUCAUGAAUCAAAAGUGGGGUACUGGCCCUCUUUUUAGACCCAAGAGUCGCUCUACGGGCUGAUCCACGUGGAACACAUUGUCAGGUGGGGAGUUUUGCUGGGGCGGCACAUUUGUUAAAAGAUAACGUAGGUGUCCUAAGAUAAGCUCAAUGAGAAAAGAAAUCUCGUGUGGAACAGAAGGGUAAAAACUCAUUUUAUUCUAAUUUCCACUACUUAUAUAAACCAUGAAAACGUGGCCUAAUGAUCUUUUAGACUUUCAAAAUUUGAAGCUAGAGGUGUCAGAAAAGUUACCAUAGGGAUAUCUGGCUUGUGGCAGCUAAGCGUUCAUUGUGACGUUGCUUUUUGAUCUUUCAAUGUAGGCUCUUCCUAUCAUAAUAGAAGCAGAAUUAACCAAGUAAUGGACUAUUCACCCACCAAUAGGGAACAUGAUCUGGGUUUAGAUCAUCGUGAGAUAGGUUAGUAUUACCCUACUAAUGACAGUGUCGCGAUAGUAACUCACCCUAGUUCCAGAGGAAUUGCUGAUUCACACAAUUGGUCAUCGUUCUUGGUUGAAAAGCCAGUGGGGUGAAGAUACCAUGUACUGGAUUAUGACUGAACACCUAGAAGGCUGAAUCAUGGCUAGAAGUGAUACAUGCACCCUCCGUCUGCUUGCCAACCCGCAGUAGGGGCCUCGGCCCCUAAGGGCAUGUGUCGUUGGCUAAGCCAUCGCUAUGGAAGGUUCACGAUUGCCUCCUUGAAGUGUAAUUUUAAUUGAGCAGCAGGUAGAAUCCUUUGCAGAUGACUUAAAUAUGCGACAGGGCAUUGUAAGUAGCAGAGUGGCCUUGCUUCCAUGAUCUACUCAUAUUCACCCCUUUUUCGCUCUAGUUUGU
rfam:Capsicum annuum cultivar Zunla-1 chromosome 2, whole genome shotgun sequence